rnacentral:rRNA from 1 species
AGUGAACGCUGGCGGUAGGCCUAACACAUGCAAGUCGAACGGCAGCACAGUAAGAGCUUGCUCUUACGGGUGGCGAGUGGCGGACGAGUGAGGAAUACAUCGGAAUCUACUUUUUCGUGGGGGAUAACGUAGGGAAACUUACGCUAAUACCGCAUACGACCUACGGGUGAAAGCAGGGGAUCUUCGGACCUUGCGCGAUUGAAUGAGCCGAUGUCGGAUUAGCUAGUUGGCGGGGUAAAGGCCCACCAAGGCGACGAUCCGUAGCUGGUCUGAGAGGAUGAUCGGCCACACUGGAACUGAGACACGGUCCAGACUCCUACGGGAGGCAGCAGUGGGGAAUAUUGGACAAUGGGCGCAAGCCUGAUCCAGCAAUACCGCGUGGGUGAAGAAGGCCUUCGGGUUGUAAAGCCCUUUUGUUGGGAAAGAAAAGCAGCAGGUUAAUACCACGCUGUUCUGACGGUACCCAAAGAAUAAGCACCGGCUAACUUCGUG